rnacentral:rRNA from 1 species
GCUGGUUUUCUACGAAACAUAUUUAAGUAUGACAUCUAUACAAAAUUUAUGGUGGUACAGCACUGAAUUCCCAACAAAGAUUAUGACAGUGAAUAAACAAAAUAUUUUUAUAUAAGUUUAUUAACUUCUAAUACUAAAGUUUAGGUUGAGGGGACCUCGAAAAUCUUACCAAUGGAAGAGAAACUCGAAAUGACAUAAAUUGAUGAUAGAUAUUCAGACUGCUCAUGAGAAAGUUGAGUAGUCAAGACGGAAACAGCCGAGAACACGAAUACAAGGUCCCAAAUGAUUAUUAAGUGAAAUUAAGGAAAUGACAUAUUGAAUGCAGCUGUAAAGUGAGCUUGGAAGUAGCUAUCUUUUAAUGACCGUAAUGAACAACGUAGCAGCCCUUAGAAUGUUGUGCCUAAAAUUUAACGGGUCUAAAUAAUCAACCGAUAUCGUGUUUAUUUUGAAUACAUAAAAAAUAUUUUUAUUCAGAAUAUAGGUAGUAGAACAUUCAGUAAAACUUAAAAUAAAACAGUGUUUCAUUGUUUUUAGGUAACUGAAGAGAUAAUGCUGACAUGAGUAACGUAAAAAGAAGUUAUAAUACUUCUCGCCGAAUACGAAAGGGUUAUAAGGAAAGGUUAUACCGCCUUAUGUUAUUGCGGCCUCUAAGGACCAAAACCAAAGUUUUGGCUGAUGAGUAGAUAACUGGAAGUCCAUAUGUAAAUUAAUGGACCAGGAAAAUUAAGUUUUUAUAAUUUAAUUUAUUUUUAUAAUUUUUUAUAAAUAAAAUUAAUUUAGUCUACCGUACCCUAAACCGACACAGGUUCGUAGGUAGAGAAUACUAAGGCGUAGAGCUAAAAGUUGUUAAGGAACUCGGCAAAUUAUCCUC